rnacentral:rRNA from 1 species
AUUGAACGCUGGCGGCAUGCCUAACACAUGCAAGUCGAACGAGUGGCGGACGGGUGAGUAAUGUCUGGGAAACUGCCCGAUGGAGGGGGAUAACUACUGGAAACGGUAGCUAAUACCGCAUACCAUCGGAUGUGCCCAGAUGGGAUUAGCUAGUAGGUGGGGUAUCCGCUCACCUAGGCGAAGAUCCCUAGCUGGUCUGAGAGGAUGACCAGACACACUGGAAAUGAGACACGGUCCAGACUCCUACGGGAGGCAGCAGUGGGGAAUAUUGCACAAUGGGCGCAAGCCUGAUGCAGCCAUGCCGCGUGUAUGAAGAAGGCCUUCGGGUUGUAAAGUACUUUCAGCGGGGAGGCGUUACUCGCAGAAGAAGCACCGGCUAACUCCGUGCAAGCAGCCGCGGUAAUAC